rnacentral:rRNA from 1 species
GCUACCAUGCAGUCGACGGUAGCACAGAGAGCUUGCUCUCGGGUGACGAGUGGCGGACGGGUGAGUAAUGUCUGGGAAACUGCCUGAUGGAGGGGGAUAACUACUGGAAACGGUAGCUAAUACCGCAUAACGUCGCAAGACCAAAGAGGGGGACCUUCGGGCCUCUUGCCAUCAGAUGUGCCCAGAUGGGAUUAGCUAGUAGGUGGGGUAACGGCUCACCUAGGCGACGAUCCCUAGCUGGUCUGAGAGGAUGACCAGCCACACUGGAACUGAGACACGGUCCAGACUCCUACGGGAGGCAGCAGUGGGGAAAUUGCACAAUGGGCGCAAGCUGAUCCACCCUGCCCGUGUUGAAGAAGGCCUUCGGGUUGUAAGUACUUUCACGGGAAGGAGGGUAAG